rnacentral:rRNA from 1 species
AGUUGAGCGAUUUCUUCGGUAAGAGCGGCGGACGGGUGAGUAACGCGUGGGUAACCUACCCUGUACACACGGAUAACAUACCGAAAGGUAUGCUAAUACGGGAUAAUAUAUUUGAGAGGCAUCUCUUGAAUAUCAAAGGUGAGCCAGUACAGGAUGGACCCGCGUCUGAUUAGCUAGUUGGUAAGGUAACGGCUUACCAAGGCGACGAUCAGUAGCCGACCUGAGAGGGUGAUCGGCCACAUUGGAACUGAGACACGGUCCAAACUCCUACGGGAGGCAGCAGUGGGGAAUAUUGCACAAUGGGCGAAAGCCUGAUGCAGCAACGCCGCGUGAGUGAUGAAGGCCUUCGGGUCGUAAAACUCUGUCCUCAAGGAAGAUAAUGACGGUACUUGAGGAGGAAGCCCCGGCUAACUACGUGCCAGCAGCCGCGGUAAUACGUAGGGGGCUAGCGUUAUCCGGAUUUACUGGGCGUAAAGGGUGCGUAGGCGGUCUUUCAAGUCAGGAGUGAAAGGCUACGGCUCAACCGUAGUAAGCUCUUGAAACUGGGAGACUUGAGUGCAGGAGAGGAGAGUGGAAUUCCUAGUGUAGCGGUGAAAUGCGUAGAUAUUAGGAGGAACACCAGUUGCGAAGGCGGCUCUCUGGACUGUAACUGA